rnacentral:tRNA from 1 species
AGUAUUUUAGUAUAAGUAAUAUGAUCAUUUUUGGGGUGAUAGAUAGUAAUACUA